AAGGCUGCUUGUCCUCCUUCCGUUAGGGUGUGACUCAGUGCCUGUGCGGCUUCAUCCAGGGAAAAGGUGGAGAGGUCAGGAGGAUUUGUCAAGGCAGUGAGUGGUCUCCCACUCAGGUGCUCGCGGUAACAAGGUCGCCGACGCGGCAGCCAGGAUAGCCCUUUCGGAGGUAAACAUAACAAACAGCACUGCCUCACCCCCUUUCCACCGCCAAGCGCAUCUUCUCAUGUGUCUGCCGCUCCGCCUCAGUUAACACUUUUGGUGAUACCUUACGCAUCACUUCCAUGGGCCAUUACUGAACAGACUUUUCUGCAGCCUUGAAUUCGGUAACAGUCCUGCGUUAUAGAUAUCGCCAUCACCCGCCGUCGCAUGGACCACACAACAUUCACUGUUCCUCUGCACCGUUUGCGUCUGACCCUGACACAUUCUAUCCCUGAGACCAUCAAACACUUCCUGCUGCACUGCCCGCGUUUCCACUCCCACCGCAUUGCACUGCACUCUCAAUUCUCGGUCCUGAUCAUCACAACACAACCUGUUCACUCUCUUGGCGGCCUCAGUCGUCGAUUCCAACAUAAGAUCUAAUCAGGACACUGAAAUUGGAAUCUCUCGCCCUCAAAGGAAACAUAAAAGAACAUGGCCUUUUGCUGCACUUCUGCCCGACGGCUACAUCAGCUUCGCCAUCUCACGUUUAGAUGUGCAUCUGUUUAUGGUAGAACAUAUGGUGGUUAUGCAGCAAAGAGGCAGCGUUUUUCAAGAAAAUCUUUGCUAUCUUCCAAAAAUCAUUCUCUGAUUGCCCAGGCACGUUUCAUGUUCAUAAAGGUUCAAGAAACGCCAAACCCUAAUUCCAUGAAGUUUAUACCAGGUGUUCAGAUACUUGAAACUGGGACAGCUGACUUUCCUAGUCUAAGCUCAGCUCAGAAAUCUCCUUUAGCUAAGUUGCUAUUCCGGAUUGAAGGAGUUCGAGGAGUAUUCUUGACAACUGAAUUUAUCACUCUUACAAAGGAAGAAGAAGAAGCAGAAUGGCGAACUAUCAAACCUGAAGCUUUUGCUAUAAUCAUGGACUUUUUUGCUUCUGGUCUACCUGUAAUGCAUACAGAUCACCAAGCAGACAAUGAACAUGCCACCUGUGAGGAUGAAGAUGAUGAUACAGUAGCCAUGAUCAAGGAACUCUUAGACACCCGUAUUCGACCAACUGUGCAGGAAGAUGGAGGUGAUAUUCUAUUCAGAGGAUUUAACGAUGGAAUUGUCCACCUUAAGAUGAUGGGUUCCUGCACCAAUUGUCCUUCUUCAGUUGUCACUUUGAAGAAUGGUGUUCAAAAUAUGCUACAGUUUUAUAUACCAGAGGUUGUUGAGGUAGUAGAAGUUAAAGAUGCAGCAGACAAUCUAGUAGAAGAAGAAUUCAAGAAAACAGAGGAAGGACUUAAUUCAGAAAAAAGUAAAACAGAAUGAAUACAUUCAGGUUGACAGGGAAAGUAAAUGGUUGGGCGGGAUUGGGCGGUUUUUUAGGCGGAAUGUGGCGGCAGCGCGGCGGGUUUCCAGUACCGACCUGACAAGUAGGCUUCUAGUUACUCUACCUUCCCGGCCUUCAUACAGCAAGAAGUUGGCUUGCUUACCAUGCACGUGCAGCAUAAUGGCUUUUAAGCCUGCUGGGAAACCCAUGGGCAAGAUUCACCCACUGACAUACGAGCAGAAACAUCAGGAGGAUUGAGAGAGGAGAAAAGAAAGCUAGUGUUGCCAGGUUCUUCAACGUCACUGAGUCCAGCAUUCGGACUGUCUACAAGAACAAGAAGACAAUUAGUAAGCCUCUGAAGGCUUACGUGUCUGACAGAAUCGAUGGAUGUUUGCAGUGCAAGGAUGAGGCUCUUCUGUGGGCAGAAAAGUGGCUGCACAAGUUCGUGCUGCGCAGGGUAAGCAGGACAGACCUAUUUUAAGGGAGACAGCAAGAAAAUUUCAGUAUUGCAUGUCGAUAUCUUGGUCUGACCUCUGCCAUGCCAUUUCAAGCCAGCCUUGGAUGGUUCCAACGUUUCCUGAAAAGGAAGGUCCUCAAGAAUGUGCACCUAACCGGCGAACGUGCCUCUGCAGAUGCUGACGCUGCUGCAGCCUUCCCUACUAUUCUUCAGGAAGAAGUUAAUGAAAAAGUAUAAACGGGCUUCACGAUAUCUAACAUGGAUGAAACAGGGAUGCUGUGGAAACGCUUGCCUUCUACCACCUACAUCUCGAAGCAGCAACGACAGGCUAGGGAAGGAUGGCAGAUAAGUCACGGCACACUGUCAUUUUGUGCACUAACGCUGCUGGGAAUUUUAAAAUUAAGUUUUUUGUCAUUCGCUAGGCAAAAAGGCCGUGUGCCUUCAGGAACCUUCGCAAUACUGGUUGCAGCAGGCGAAGGCAUGGGGGACAUCAAGCUUGGUGGUUGAGUGGUUUGAUUUGUUUGUCAAGGACACGUAGCAGCUCUGCAAGAAGCACAGCGUCCCAUCCAAGGGACGCUGGAUGGAUAACACACUAUGUCAUCCACAGUACUUCGUGCCCCGCCACCUAUAAGUGAAGGUCAUCUUCCCCACCCAACACCACCAGUUUGCUGCAGCCCCUGGACCAAGAAAUUAUCACCAACACCAAGCUUAUGUACAGCCAAUUCAUGUACCGUAAGUUCCUGGUGGCGGUUACCAGUGAUGCAGCAUAGGUACAGGUGUUGCAGGAUAUUCGAGAAUCUGAACUUACAUCUGGCAGCAGUCGGGAGACCGUGAAGAGGCAAGUAGCGACGAUGAGAGUGACACCAGUUAGUUUGAGCCCACUACACCAAAGGAUGUACAGACUGUUGCAGAAUUCAGGCAUUGUUAUAAUAUCAAGGACUCCAUAGACAGGCCGCUUCGGACUUAAACACUUUAUUACAUUUGUCUUAUAUACAUGUAUUUUUGAAAUGAUAAACAAAUGAGACAAAUACCCCUUUGCAAGCUAUAGAAAGCUUUAUGGGCAAUGCUAUGAAAAAAAUAUUGGUAAAUUUAUAGUUUAAGCCAAUGUCCCCAAUCUCUACCCACGGCCCCCCAAUCCCUCAAGCAAGCUUGGGGGCCUGUGGGGAACCUAACCUAACCUGCCCGCACAGCUUAUGGGUACUUAUAGAGACUUCCUAUUGGUGCAACUCGUGGUGUUAAGUGGUGGUAGCACGUGAUUGGCCCGAGGAAUUAGACACAGUGAUCCUAUCCAGCAGCUACCCACAAUUCAAAGCAUUAAACAACUGAAGUUCAGGCAACAAUACACCAUUUAUGUUUACCUGUGGACUUAGAAAAAGUUGAGAGCGCUGUGCAUUCCCAGGCCUAUUGUGGCGUUAUUAUUAAUUUCCGACAAGUGGUGUAAUCAUUAGAAAUUAUGUGAAUAAUGAGAAGAACAAAAUGAGGUAGGUUGUUACCACGUAGUGUGUAAUGGCUUAAACUAUAAUAAAACCAAAAUAUUUAACAUGGAAAAAAAAAUAACAUCCAUUCACAUUAUAAGACUUGGGGCAAGAUCAGCCAGGUUACCAUCACCCACGUGUGGCGCCUCAUCUGCCACCAUGCCUGUUGCCCCUGCCAAGCCGCAGCUAACGGAGGUUAGCUGCGGCUAACUUCAAGUUCCUGGUUGUGCUACGGUCACGAAAGAGGAUGUGAUGGACAUGGUGAACUGCAGCAUCGAUACAUUGAGUGCAGUGUUGGAUGAAGUCAUAGAGGGAGACGCUCCUAAGCACAGUGAGAGGGACAGACAAGCAGUGUGUGUGCAGAGGCAAGGGGGAAAUGACAAUGAAAAACUUGAGUGAUCUGCUAGCAACUGUGGACUUGCUCAAGGAACAAGCCCAGGAAUCGGAUGAAAACCGGGGAAGGUGUAGUGAAUUUGUGAGUGCUAUUGAAAAGGCAGCAGCGCCCUUCAAGGACCUCCAUAACAGGACGUUCAGUGAGCACUGACAACAGUUGAUCAUACGCUAUCUGUCUGCCAGAGCCAUACAACUACCUACAUCACCUGAGCCAGAACCACAGCCUGAUCCAUAUCAUGCAGACAGUGAUGAAAACUUGCCAUAGGUACCGGAAGCAGACUUCGAGGGGUUCCUUCAAGAAGCAGAGAUGGAGGAUAGCAGCCAAUAGGCUGCUGUUAGCCGUGGAAUCCCCAAAUCUACUGUGCUACGGAGUUUCAUCAAGUAAGAUCUCUGCCAUAAGAAAAUGGUUUAGCUAAGGAAUGAUCACACCAAAUUUGAAGCCUCUAUAGUUAAUUGGAAUUCAUCCUCUAGACAAAUCACGAGUGCUGAAAAGGCUGCAGCACCAAAGUGAGUCACCAGCAACAAAUUUGGUCAGUCCCUUGGUCAUUGAUCUCAUAAAAGAAUUUUGAGAUGCAGCAAACACAAAGCCAAAUACUGUUGUUAUGUCAAAAAGACUUGGUGUCACCUGGCAAAAGUGUUACUGCUGCAGAUGUCAUGGUUCAUCAAGGGCAGUGCGCCAGGUGCAUCCCACUAAAAAAACAAAGAACAGUGUCACCAACACCUGAUUCUAGUAGCUCUUAGUACACCCUUUCUGACAUUGAACCUGUUGAGCUUGAUGAUGAUGAUGUAUGUGAGGCAGAGGGUACCAGCAAUGCAGAUGAGACCAUGUCAUUUGAACAGGGUAAUUAUGUACUGAUCAGGUUCCAGACAAAAAAGCACCAAUUUUGUUAUGUAGGAAUAAUGGAAAAAAGGAUUUCCAGUGAUACUUGGAACAUCAAUUACUUGAGAAACAAACACAGAGGUGACAGCAAGCAUUGCUGCUUUGAUAAACCUUUAAAUCCUGAUAUUUUGGACACUGAUUUACAUGAUAUUAUUAAGAGAUAGCCAAACCAACAUUUGUAAAGAACAAAAUGAUGUUCUCUGCCUCUCUAUUCACUGGACUGGUGGUAUGAUAGGCACCUGAUUUGUGCUUGAUUUUUUUUUUUUUUUUUUUUAUUGUGUGUGUUUGUGUGUGUGUGUGUGUGUGUGUGUGUGUGUGUGUGUGCCCCAAAGCUUUGGGUAAGUGGGCCUAUCUGUUUGAACACACAUUCCUCCAUAUAUACGAUAUGCAAAAGGAUUUCAUUACUGUCACAGAUAGUCAUAGUUCUGUUUUACUUAUUCAAGAAAUAAAACUUUCAUAAUG